rnacentral:misc_RNA from 1 species
GGAUGAAGAACGUAGCGAAAUGCGAUAAGUAAUGUGAAUUGCAGAAUUCAGUGAAUCAUCGAAUCUUUGAACGCACAUUGCGCCCGCCAGUAUUCUGGCGGGCAUGCCUGUUCGAGCGUCAUUUCAACCAUCAAGCCCCAGGCUUGUGUUGGGGACCUGCGGCUGCCGCAGGCCCUGAAAACCAGUGGCGGGCUCGCUGUCACACCGGGCGUAGUAGAUUUUAUCUCGCUCAGGGCGUGCUGCGGGUUCCGGCCGUUAAAAAGCCUUUUUUACCCAAGGUUGACCUCGGAUCAGGUAGGAAGACCCGCUGAACUUAAGCAUAUCAAUAAGCGGAGGA